GUGAUGGCGUGCCUUUUGUAGAAUGAACCGGCGAGUUACGAUUUGAUGCAAGGUUAAGCAGUAAAUGUGGAGCCGUAGCGAAAGCGAGUCUGAAUAGGGCGUUUAGUAUUUGGUCGUAGACCCGAAACCAGGUGAUCUACCCUUGGUCAGGUUGAAGUUCAGGUAACACUGAAUGGAGGACCGAACCGACUUACGUUGAAAAGUGAGCGGAUGAACUGAGGGUAGCGGAGAAAUUCCAAUCGAACCUGGAGAUAGCUGGUUCUCUCCGAAAUAGCUUUAGGGCUAGCCUCAAGUGAUGAUUAUUGGAGGUAGAGCACUGUUUGGACGAGGGGCCCCUCUCGGGUUACCGAAUUCAGACAAACUCCGAAUGCCAAUUAAUUUAACUUGGGAGUCAGAACAUGGGUGAUAAGGUCCGUGUUCGAAAGGGAAACAGCCCAGACCACCAGCUAAGGUCCCAAAAUAUAUGUUAAGUGGAAAAGGAUGUGGCGUUGCCCAGACAACUAGGAUGUUGGCUUAGAAGCAGCCAUCAUUUAAAGAGUGCGUAAUAGCUCACUAGUCGAGUGACACUGCGCCGAAAAUGUACCGGGGCUAAACAUAUUACCGAAGCUGUGGAUUGUCCUUUGGACAAUGGUAGGAGAGCGUUCUAAGGGCGUUGAAGCAUGAUCGUAAGGACAUGUGGAGCGCUUAGAAGUGAGAAUGCCGGUGUGAGUAGCGAAAGACGGGUGAGAAUCCCGUCCACCGAUUGACUAAGGUUUCCAGAGGAAGGCUCGUCCGCUCUGGGUUAGUCGGGUCCUAAGCUGAGGCCGACAGGCGUAGGCGAUGGAUAACAGGUUGAUAUUCCUGUACCACCUAUAAUCGUUUUAAUCGAUGGGGGGACGCAGUAGGAUAGGCGAAGCGUGCGAUUGGAUUGCACGUCUAAGCAGUAAGGCUGAGUAUUAGGCAAAUCCGGUACUCGUUAAGGCUGAGCUGUGAUGGGGAGAAGACAUUGUGUCUUCGAGUCGUUGAUUUCACACUGCCGAGAAAAGCCUCUAGAUAGAAAAUAGGUGCCCGUACCGCAAACCGACACAGGUAGUCAAGAUGAGAAUUCUAAGGUGAGCGAGCGAACUCUCGUUAAGGAACUCGGCAAAAUGACCCCGUAACUUCGGGAGAAGGGGUGCUCUUUAGGGUUAACGCCCAGAAGAGCCGCAGUGAAUAGGCCCAAGCGACUGUUUAUCAAAAACACAGGUCUCUGCUAAACCGUAAGGUGAUGUAUAGGGGCUGACGCCUGCCCGGUGCUGGAAGGUUAAGAGGAGUGGUUAGCUUCUGCGAAGCUACGAAUCGAAGCCCCAGUAAACGGCGGCCGUAACUAUAACGGUCCUAAGGUAGCGAAAUUCCUUGUCGGGUAAGUUCCGACCCGCACGAAAGGCGUAACGAUUUGGGCACUGUCUCAACGAGAGACUCGGUGAAAUCAUAGUACCUGUGAAGAUGCAGGUUACCCGCGACAGGACGGAAAGACCCCGUGGAGCUUUACUGUAGCCUGAUAUUGAAAUUCGGCACAGCUUGUACAGGAUAGGUAGGAGCCUUUGAAACGUGAGCGCUAGCUUACGUGGAGGCGCUGGUGGGAUACUACCCUAGCUGUGUUGGCUUUCUAACCCGCACCACUUAUCGUGGUGGGAGACAGUGUCAGGCGGGCAGUUUGACUGGGGCGGUCGCCUCCUAAAAGGUAACGGAGGCGCUCAAAGGUUCCCUCAGAAUGGUUGGAAAUCAUUCAUAGAGUGUAAAGGCAUAAGGGAGCUUGACUGCGAGACCUACAAGUCGAGCAGGGUCGAAAGACGGACUUAGUGAUCCGGUGGUUCCGCAUGGAAGGGCCAUCGCUCAACGGAUAAAAGCUACCCCGGGGAUAACAGGCUUAUCUCCCCCAAGAGUUCACAUCGACGGGGAGGUUUGGCACCUCGAUGUCGGCUCAUCGCAUCCUGGGGCUGUAGUCGGUCCCAAGGGUUGGGCUGUUCGCCCAUUAAAGCGGUACGCGAGCUGGGUUCAGAACGUCGUGAGACAGUUCGGUCCCUAUCCGUCGUGGGCGUAGGAAAUUUGAGAGGAGCUGUCCUUAGUACGAGAGGACCGGGAUGGACAUACCUCUGGUGUACCAGUUGUCGUGCCAACGGCAUAGCUGGGUAGCUAUGUGUGGACGGGAUAAGUGCUGAAAGCAUCUAAGCAUGAAGCCCCCCUCAAGAUGAGAUUUCCCAACUUCGGUUAU
rnacentral:rRNA from 1 species